rnacentral:rRNA from 1 species
AUUGAACGCUGGCGGCAGGCCUAACACAUGCAAGUCGGACGGUAGCACAGAGGAGCUUGCUCCUCGGGUGACGAGUGGCGGACGGGUGAGUAAUGUCUGGGGAUCUGCCCGAUAGAGGGGGAUAACCACUGGAAACGGUGGCUAAUACCGCAUAACGUCGCAAGACCAACGAGGGGGCCCUUCGGGCCUCCCACUAUCGGAUGAACCCAGAUGGGAUUAGCUAGUAGGCGGGGUAAUGGCCCACCUAGGCGACGAUCCCUAGCUGGUCUGAGAGGAUGACCAGCCACACUGGAACUGAGACACGGUCCAGACUCCUACGGGAGGCAGCAGUGGGGAAUAUUGCACAAUGGGCGCAAGCCUGAUGCAGCCAUGCCGCGUGUAUGAAGAAGGCCUUCGGGUUGUAAAGUACUUUCAGCGGGGAGGAAGGCGAUGUGGUUAAUAACCUUGUCGAUUGACGUUACCCGCAGAAGAAGCACCGGCUAACUCCGUGCCAGCCGCCGCAGUAA